rnacentral:rRNA from 1 species
GGGCCCGCACAAGCGGUGGAGCAUGUGGUUUAAUUCGAUGAUACGCGAGGAACCUUACCAGGGCUUAAAUGUAGUGGGACAGGUCUAGAGAUAGACCCUUCUUCGGACUCAUUACAAGGUGCUGCAUGGUUGUCGUCAGCUCGUGCCGUGAGGUGUCAGGUUAAGUCCUAUAACGAGCGCAACCCCUAUCGUUAGUUGCCAGCGGGUAAUGCCGGGAACUCUAACAAGACUGCCGGUGCAAACCGUGAGGAAGGUGGGGAUGACGUCAAAUCAUCACGGCCCUUACGUCCUGGCCACACACGUGCUACAAUGGCCGGUACAGAGAGCAGCCACUACGCGAGUAGGAG